rnacentral:rRNA from 1 species
CCGCACAAGCGGUGGAGCAUGUGGUUUAAUUCGAUGCAACGCGAAGAACCUUACCUACCCUUGACAUCGUGCGAACUUUCCAGAGAUGGAUUGGUGCCUUCGGGAACGCACAGACAGGUGCUGCAUGGCUGUCGUCAGCUCGUGUUGUGAAAUGUUGGGUUAAGUCCCGUAACGAGCGCAACCCUUGUCCCUAUUUGCCAGCGAUUCGGUCGGGAACUCUAGGGAGACUGCCGGUGACAAACCGGAGGAAGGUGGGGACGACGUCAAGUCAUCAUGGCCCUUACGGGUAGGGCUACACACGUGCUACAAUGGUCGGUACAAAGGGUUGCCAGCUCGCGAGAGUGCGCUAAUCCCAUAAAGCCGAUCUCAGUCCGGAUCGGAGUCUGCAACUCGACUCCGUGAAGUCGGAAUCGCUAGUAAUCGUGAAUCAGAAUGUCACGGUGAAUACGUUCCCGGGCCUUGUACACACCGCCCGUCACACCAUGGGAGUGGACUGCACCAGAAGUGGUUAGCCUAACUUCGGAGGGCGAUCACCACGGUGUGGUUCAUGACUGGGGUGAAGUCGUAACAAGGUAGCCGUAGGGGAACCUGCGGCUGGAUCACCUCCUUA